UGGGGGAUAUUGCACAAUGGGCGAAAGCCUGAUGCAGCGACGCCGCGUGGGGGAUGAAGGCCUUCGGGUUGUAAACUUCUUUUGCUCUGAACAAGGCAUGCUAAUGGGUGUGUUGAGUGUAGGGGUUGAUUAGCGCCGGCUAACUACGUGUCAGCAGCCGCGGUAAUACGUAGGGCGCGAGCGUUGUCCGGAAUUAUUGGGCGUAAAGGGCUUGUAGGUGGCUGGUUGCGUCUGUCGUGAAAGCUCAUGGCUUAACUGUGGGUUUGCGGUGGGUACGGGCUGGCUUGAGUGCAGUAGGGGAGGCUGGAAUUCCUGGUGUAGCGGUGGAAUGCGCAGAUAUCAGGAGGAAUACCGGUGGCGAAGGCGGGUCUCUGGGCUGUUACUGACACUGAGGAGCGAAAGCAUGGGGAGCGAACAGG
rnacentral:rRNA from 1 species